rnacentral:rRNA from 1 species
AUAGCGUAUAUUAAAGUUGUUGCAGUUAAAAAGCUCGUAGUUGAACUUCAGACCUGGCUGGGCGGUCUGCUUAACGGCAUGUACUGUCUGGCUGGGCCUUACCUCUUGGUGAGCCGGCAUGCCCUUUAUUGGUGUGCGUCGGGGAACCAGGACUUUUACCUUGAGAAAAUUAGAGUGUUCAAAGCAGGCCUGUGCCUGAAUACAUUAGCAUGGAAUAAUAAAAUAGGACGUGCGGUUCUAUUUUGUUGGUUUCUAGAGUCGCCGUAAUGAUUAAUAGGGAUAGUUGGGGGCAUUGGUAUUGAGUCGCUAGAGGUGAAAUUCUUGGAUUGACUCAAGACCGACUACUG